rnacentral:rRNA from 1 species
AAUACGUAGGGGGCAAGCGUUAUCCGGAAUUAUUGGGCGUAAAGAGUGCGUAGGUGGUUACCUAAGCAGGGGGUGAAAGGCACUGGCUUAACCAAUGUCAGCCCCCUGAACUGGGUACCUUGAGUGCAGGAGAGGAAAGCGGAAUUCCUAGUGUAGCGGUGAAAUGCGUAGAUAUUAGGAGGAACACCAGUGGCGAAGGCGGCUUUCUGGACUGUAACUGACGCUGAGGCACGAAAGUGUGGGGAGCAAACAGGAUUAGAUACCCUGGUAGUCCACACCGUAAACGAUGAGCACUAGGUGUCGGGGUCGCAAGACUUCGGUGCCGCAGUUAACGCAUUAAGUGCUCCGCCUGGGGAGUACGUUCGCAAGAAUGAAACUCAAAGGAAUUGACGGGGACCCGCACAAGCAGCGGAGCAUGUGGUUUAAUUCGAAGCAACGCGAAGAACCUUACCAAGACUUGACAUUGAUUGCAAGCCAUAGAGAUAUGGCCCUCCCUUCGGGGACAUGAAAACAGAUGGUGCAUGGUUGUCGUCAGCUCGUGUCGUGAGAUGUUGGGUUAAGUCCCGCAACGAGCGCAACCCUCAUAAAUAGUUGCCAAUAUUAAGUUAGGAACUCUAUUUAGACUGCCGUGGAUAACACGGAGGAAGGUGGGGAUGACGUCAAAUCAUCAUGCCCCUUACGUCUUGGGCUACACACGUGCUACAAUGGCUAUUACAAAGAGCUGCAAACCCGUAAGGGCAAGCGAAUCUCAAAAAGAUAGUCUCAGUUCGGACUGUGGGCUGCAACCCGCCCACACGAAGUCGGAGUUGCUAGUAAUCCCGAAUCAGAAUGUCGGGGUGAAUGCGUUCCCGGGUCUUGUACACACUGCCCGUCACGCCAUGGGAGUUGAUAGUACCCAAAGUCGGUGAGCUAACCGCAAGGAGGCAGCCGCCUAAGGUAAGAUCAGUAACUGGGGUGAAGUCGUAACAAGGUAGCCGUAUCGGAAGGUGCGGCUGGAUCA